AACGAACGCUGGCGGCAGGCCUAACACAUGCAAGUCGAGCGCUCACUUCGGUGGGAGCGGCGGACGGGUUAGUAACGCGUGGGAACGUGCCCUUCUCUACGGAAUAGCCAUUGGAAACGAUGAGUAAUACCGUAUACGCCUUCGGGGAAAGAUUUAUCGGAGAGGAUCGGCCGCGUUAGGAUUAGAUAGUUGGUGGGGUAACGGCCUACCAAGUCUACGAUCUAUAGCUGGUUUUAGAGGAUGAUCAGCAACACUGGGACUGAGACACGGCCCAGACUCCUACGGGAGGCAGCAGUGGGGAAUCUUAGACAAUGGGCGCAAGCCUGAUCUAGCCAUGCCGCGUGAGUGAUGAAGGCCCCUAGGGGUCAAAGCU
rnacentral:rRNA from 1 species